AAGAGCGGCUUGAGAAGGAAAGACAGGAACAAGAGAGGCAAGAAAAAGAACAAGCUCUAGAGAGGGAGAGGCAGGAGAAAGAAAGGCUAGAAAGAAAGCAAGCUUUGGAGAGAGAGAGACUGGAAAGAGAAGCUGCAUUGGAGAAAGAGAGACAAGAAAUGGAAAGGGCCAAAGAACAGCAAAGGCUGGAGAAAGAGAAGGCUGAAAAAGAAAGACAUGAAAGAGAAGCCGCUCUGGAACGCAAGAGGCAAGAGCGAGAAAGGCUUGAGAAAGAGAAAGCUUUGGAAGAGGAACGGUUGCAGAAAGAACAAGCUCUUGAGCGUGAGAGAGAAACACAGAGGAAAGCAGAGGAGGAACGAGAGGAAACUUUGGAAAAGGAGAAAGAGCAGCAGGAGAGGGCUUUAAAAGAAGAGCAGCAGAGAGCCUUGGAGGAAAGGGAAAGACUUUUGGAGCAAAAAAGAGUGCAGGAGGAAAAAGAAAAGGCUUUGAAACUUGAAAAAGAGGAAGAACACGAGAAAGAAAGAGAAAGCCGUCUUCCUCCGUGGAAGCGUGGUCGUGAUAUUGGUGGUCUCUCCUAUCUAGAGGCCCUACCUGCUUCUCUGGAGAGUCCAAUGGAGAAGCCAGAUGAGAGUGAGACUGGUGAACCUCAGAGCACUGACAAAGAUGCUCGAUCUACAGAGCCUGUCCCACAACAGUCACCCACACUUGCAACACCACUAUCCCCUCAAUCUUCUUCAAAGAAGUCCCGCUUCCUCAGAGAUGCUCCUGUGAGAACUCCUCUCCCUUCCUCUCCAACGUCUGUGCUGAAGAGACCUCGUACUUUCUCAGACAGCCCCAUGCCACAAGCCCCCUCAAUUCCAUUAGGAUCUAAGCCUGAGGAAAAAGAUGCCUCUCAGGCUCCUCAAACAUCAGUCCUUGCUUCAGCCUCCAAUGAGCUUGAGAGCAAGACCCCAGAGGUGCCUGCCAAACAACAUGCACAACAAGAGGAAAAGAAGAUGGAGAUGUCAGAGAAUAGUGAGGCAAGCAAAGACACUAAACCUAAUACACUCAGAAGAGUGGAGGAUGAGGAGAAACCUCUUUCAGAGGAGAAGAAAAUAGGAAGAGAAAGGGAAAAGAAGCAGGGGGAGAAGAAAGAAAGAAAAUCAUCAUCCUCCAGCGAGUCCUCCUCAUCCAACUCGGAUUCUGGGUCUUCAUCCUCCUCAUGCUCCUCCAGUUCAUCAUCAGAAGAGGAGGAGGAGAAAAGUCAUUCUACUUCAGGUGGUAGGAAGGUGAGUAGAUCAAAAGUUUCUUAUCUUUUUGUCAGGCUAACUCACUCUUGCUCUCUUUAAACACUUUCAUUGAUCAUUGUAAUCAAUCACUGAACUACGGCUCUGUGUAGUAAAUGCUGCUCCUUCUGAAACCACGUGCUGGAGAUUUA
ensembl:lncRNA